UCGGAGCUCACUGAGAAGUGGGUGCAAGUCUCCAGGCAUAGAGUGCCACUCAUCUGAACCUUGCUGGGCUUCCCUUUGGGGCUGAGAAGGAGCCCCGGCGUUCCCAGCAGAUUGGAAGCUCCCUCUAUGGUCUCCUCGGCAACCACAGGCUGCUGGCCUCUCUGAGCAGCGGUCUGGGGCUGAGCUGCCAGGUGACUGCACUGUCCCCAUCCCUGCUCGGCUGCAGCAGCAAAUUCACAUGCCGUAAUGAAUGGUCCCAGCCUAAGACGGGGGAUCUUAGGAAUGAAGGUGUUGUGGGGGUUAACAUGGCUUCUGGGAAGGAAAUUCAAGUUGUAUCCACAGGAAGAACUCAUACAUACCUGGGUUCAUCUGGCAAACUAGAAAGCAAUGGCCCAAGGAGGGCAUCAGGGCAGGGGAGCAGAGAAGCCUCUCAGAGAGCACUCGCCCUAAGGGAAGAAGGAGCUGGAGGACACGAAUGCACCGAGAGCCUCGUGGAGGAGGCGAGCGCUCCUGAGCAGUAGCUGAGACUCUGACUGGACCCCGCACGGACCCCGUUCACUUUACGUCUGAGCUCUAUAGAGGGUGAACGCCCGAAGCAAGAAUGAGCUCCGGAGAAGCCCAAGGCCAUGCACAGAGCGCGUCAGUGACGGUUCUUCACUGAAGGCCACAAAACCUGAUUCCGGCUGAUAGGAGCUAAGAAGGAAUGCUGUGAAAGGGUAUCACGUAGCUCACAAGGCGGCUGGCCCGCAGGACUGGAAAACUAAAAGAAACAAAAGGUUCCCGUGCAGCUGGAACCACAGCCACAGAACCAGCCCAGAGACAGGGCUGCCGCCUUCUCCCUGACAAAGCCCAGAGAGCUCAGCAGGCACCUCCGAUAUUGCCCAUGGUGGAUGCUGGAUGUCGCUGCCACCACCAUCAUUGCUGCCACCACCACCACCACCAUCAUCACCACCACCACCAUCACCACCGUCACCACUACCACCACAGUGGCUGGAAAGAAUUUGCCCCUGUCCCAGCUUCACUGCCGUCACUGGCUCCUGAUUCAAAGUUGGAGGAGGCUGUGGAGGGAAGGAUCAGUCAGACACUGACGGCCAAGAAGGAGGAGGAAGAGGAGGAGAAGUGAGAAGAAACAAACACUCCAGCUUCAAACAUAUCUUGAAUAAGUCACUCCUGCUCUCCAGGCUUCAACCUCCUCUUCCAUCGUGACCGUCCACAUUGCGUGGGGGUCAUGGGAGGAAAUGGGUGAGAGUCCUGUCACUGGCAGCGUGGGUAAGUGGAAUCACCAUCCUGCGUGGUCAUCACCAUCAUCAUCUUAAGGAUUGUCCCUAACCCGGGGUUCCUCAACCUCUACAACUAACAUUUGGGGCCUGUGCAUUGUAGGAUGUUUAGCAGCAUCCUUGGCCUCUACCCACUUGAUGCCACCAGCGCCUCCUCUCCAACUGUGACAAUUGGCAGCCGCCUCUAGACAUUGCCAAAUAUCCCUGGGGCAGAGCUGCCUCUAGUUGAGACCACUGCUGUAAACACAGCUGCCUCAGUCCUCCUGUGGCCACUCUGCAAUAAAGGCCUAGACUUUCCCUCUGGAGAGGCUGGGCUCCUGCCAAGACAGGAGCACGCAGAGUCCUAGGGCGCCCUUUUGACUCCUGCUCAUGGAGGCAGAGAGGAGGAAAAGGGCAGUCUUAUGUCACCAAAUAUUUGCUAUUCUUUGAGCCCUGCGCAACCUGCCUUUGCUCACUUAGCAUGCUCUCCCUCACCCCAACCUCUCUCCACUUGUCCAAAUCUGACCCCUUCCCUCUAUCUCUGAACUGGCCAGCAUUUCUCCCUUUCAAGAUGCUCAGUGCCCUGGCCAGACAUGGUGGCUCACACCUGUAAUCCCAGCACUUUGGGAGGCCAAGGCAGGUGGAUCCCUUGAGGUCAGGAGUUCGAGACCAGCCUGGCCAACAUAGUGAAACCCCAUCUCUACUAAAAAUACAAAAAUUAGCCGGGUGUGGUGGCACGUGCCUGCAGAAUCCCAGCUACUCGGGAGGCUGCGGCGGGAGAAUCGCUUGAACACAGGAGGCGAAGGCUGCAGUGAGCCGAGACUGCACCAUUGCACUCCAGCCUGGGUGACAGAGUGAGACUCUGUCUCAAAAAAAAAAAAAAAAAAAAAAAAAAAAAAAAAAAAAAGCCGGGCAUGGUGGCACACACCUGACAUUCCAGCUACUCAGGGGGCUGAGGCAGGAGAACCACUUGAACCUGAACCCAGGAGGCAGAAGUUGCAGUGAGCUAAGAUUGUGCCGCUGCACUCCAGCCUGGGCAACAGAGCAAAACUCUGUCUCAAAAAUAAAUAAAUAAAUAAAUAAAUAAUGCUCAGUGUCCUAAUCCGAUACCACAUGUUACUCUGUGCUGUACCCCUGCAGUGGGGUGGGGAGGAGGAAAGCCAUACACCUACACUGAGAGGCAUCAUAAGACAUCGCCCUGUGAGGACCUUUGUGGAGAGGUGUUAGGGGGACAUGGCUCAUUUCAUCACGCAGCGCUCUCUCAAUUAGGACCCUCGGGAGAGAUGCCCAAACCACUCCUGAGCAACUGGUCAGUUUUUGUUUUAUGGACACCAGGAACUGGGCCUUUUCCCAGGCUUUCCUGUCCUGGAAGCUGUUAGAAAGCUUGGAGUCAAAUUUGGGGUUCACCCUCAUUAUAUGUAUAUUUAUGGUUCUCGUAGUUUAGUCUCAUUCCUGGCCCCUUUUUUAUGCCCUUACCCUUAUUUUUUCCUUUUAUUCCUUCUUUUAAAUUAUGUUCCCUUGUUAUGUUUUAUGUAUUAACACUUUCUGGCACAAAGCACAGUCUAAAUAAGAAGAUAGAUGUAGAUAAAGUAGCUCUGUCUCUCUCAUAUGAGAGCUAUGUAUUUUUAUAUCUUGUCUGGCUCUAAAUUAAUGUGAAUUUACUGAAAGCAGUAGUUGGAUCAGAUUCAUUUCUUGCCCACCAUCCCCACUCCUUCACUCCCUCCCCGGGAAUUCAGCCCAUUGCCCAUUACAUAUGGACACUCAGUCAGUAUUUGUUGCUCUGUUGAUGACUGGUUCUCUUAGACGCAACAAAUUCCUUCCCUCCCUCCUUUCUCCCUUCCUACCUUCUUUUCUUUCCUCCUUUUCUUCUCUAUCUCUUCCUUUUUUUUCCCCCGAAAAAUGAAGACAAAAAAGAGGAAACAGAUACGCUUUGGAAAGAACUCCCAAUGAGGUCCUUCACUAUAUUCACACCUUAGAAGAGCUGACACUUCAAUUCUCUUCUAAAACCUAAAACCUACAACAAGAGUCUAUCAAGUUCAUGCUGAAGAGUGGCUUCAGCCAGAAGAAGGAAAGCAGGGACUCCUGUGCAGAGCCCCAAGGCCUUCUUGAUGACACUGGUCUUGUCUGGGGAAGUAACAUUCCAGCCUUGUCAGCUCAUUAUCGUUUCUCUGAAAUCACUCUGCCUUUUCAUCUGGAUCCAGCAUUCUUCAGACUUUGCCUUCUCCUGGUGAGGCAUGUGUUACAUGAAAAAAGUAAAAUGCUACCCUCAGAGAAUAUUUGUUGAAUGAGUGAAUCCUAUUGAGGCAGGAAAAUAGGGUCUGGAGGCAGGAAACAUAAGAUACCCUCUCCAUAGGGCAUACACCGACUAAAUGACUUUGUAACUUUACUUCACCCUCUUUGUUUACAUAGAGCGUACUCCAAGUAGAGGGUAUUUAAACUCAUAAAAACUCUGUAAACAGGGCCUUUGAGCCCCUACACUCAGGCCCACUCCCACACUGUGGAGCGUGCUUUCAUUUUCAAUAAAACCCUUCAUUCUUU
rnacentral:lncRNA from 1 species